GCUUCUUCUGCCUCAGCUUUGUGCAGGCUAUACCAAGAAAACACUGUUGAAGUCUAAGAGGUGAAGUGUGGACGAUAAAAGAAACCCUAUGCAUGCUUCAGCCACAGCAAUUGAUACACAUUUUGAGUUUCCAAGUGAAAAUACAUUGGAAGAAAGUGACAGAUAGCUUUAAAAUAUGUACAUGAUUGUACCACGGUAUUUUAUCUCCCCACAUCAGUGCUCAACAUUUUGGACUUAAUUUUCAAACCAUUCAAUUUUUUCUGAGUAAAUUCUCUGUCCCUAGAUUAAUCCCAUUCAUACACUAAGAUCUUGAAAAAGAAAAAAAGAGGAGACAUGAAAAGGUCUGUGUGUGCGAUAGACCCCAGAUGCUUCAAGAAAUUAUCCCUGAACUUCAAAAAAUAUACUCAAAGACACUAAUAUCUUUUGAUUGCUGGUUCAGUUAUUCACUUCUUUUCUAUGUUAAUAACAAAAUCAACAACAAAAGAAACAGGAAAAAAGGCCUUGAUAGAGGAAGAAUUCUGAGCACAUAGGCAUUUGAAUAAAAAUCUUCCUAAGUGAUGAAUUUUACUGCUGUGUGUUUCUAAAAUGAAGCAGUACCGACGCAUUUGUGCCAUUCAUUUCCAUACAAUUUGUAAAGUUAUUACCUAUUUGGAAUAUUACCCACUUUUUUCAUGUACAACAUAAAAAUUUAUGAUGGAUACCCUUUAAAUGUGUAUCUAAAAGUAUGCAUUACAAUAAAGUAUGAUUUGUG
rnacentral:lncRNA from 10 species